GCAGGUGUUUUACCUGGAUCUAUUGGAUGAUGCUGAUGCUUGGAAUACAAGUGAUUCCGUCACCCAGUAUAUUCUCUCCUUUUAGCAGUAGACAGUCUUCAACUACAGCAGGAGGAGCCUCAACCAAUGAGGAUUGAUAACAAACUUCUAGGCUGUGUCUCACAAACCUUCAGCAAUAUGGCAGGCUGCUGUAUUGAAGACAAAAAUGUAGAAAGAAAACGUCAUUGUAAUUUUAAUGGCAAGAGAAUUACAAUAAAAAAGGUACAUUAUGUCAAUAUUUUCCAAGAAUAUGAAGUUAUUCAACUGCUCUUGUCAUAUAAGAUUUUGAAAUUUAUAAAAUCCUGUAGGCUGGGCUACCUUUGGUCAUGUAA
rnacentral:lncRNA from 10 species